AGAGUUUGAUCAUGGCUCAGAACGAACGCUGGCGGCGUGCCUAACACAUGCAAGUCGAACGAGAAAUCGGGCACUCAGGCAACUGAGUGCCGGAGAGUAAAGUGGCGCACGGGUGAGUAACACGUGGGUAACCUACCCCCGAAUCUGGGAUAACUUCGCGAAAGCGUUGCUAAUACCGGAUAUUGUCCUUUUGGUUGUGACCUUUGGGAUGAAAGGCAACCUCUUCAUGAAAGUUGUCGUUCAGGGAUGGGCCCGCGUACCAUUAGCUUGUUGGUGGGGUAACGGCCCACCAAGGCUACGAUGGUUAGCUGGUCUGAGAGGAUGAUCAGCCACACUGGAACUGAAACACGGUCCAGACUCCUACGGGAGGCAGCAGUGGGGAAUUUUGCGCAAUGGGGGAAACCCUGACGCAGCAACGCCGCGUGAGUGAAGAAGGCUUUCGGGUCGUAAAGCUCUGUCAAGUGGGAAAAAAGUCUGAUGAUUAAUAGUUGUUAGAUCUGAUGGUACCACUAGAGGAAGCACCGGCUAACUCCGUGCCAGCAGCCGCGGUAAUACGGAGGGUGCAAGCGUUGUUCGGAAUUACUGGGCGUAAAGGGCGUGCAGGCGGGUUGGUAAGUCAGAUGUG
rnacentral:rRNA from 1 species